UAGUAGGCUUAAGUUAUCAGGAGCCCCUAAAGUUGUCCACAUAUUCCAUUAGACACUUCAAUUCAGACUUGUACCUAUUGAACACCUAUAUCAUUUCAGAUUUAAACCACUUAGACACUUUUUGUUGACAUGAUAAAAUGCACACAAACAGACGCGGGAGAGGUUUUUUUGGCCAAUUUUUCUUUUUUUUUUUUUUUUUUUUUUUUUGCAACUCUUUCCGCCACCUUCUUUGCCAGAAAAAUGGAGGAAUUAGUUAUAGGGAAAAUUGAUAGGAGCAUUAGAGGGAUACACGGCCAAAAAUUAAAAAAAAAAAAAAAAAAAAAGGUGACCGGGGUCGUCUUCUUGAUAGAAGUAGGUCGUAUUUCUGACGGAGGACUCACGCUCAAAACAGAGAACCAUCAUCAAAACUCCGUCCACCACCACUAUCGUCUUUGGCGCACUGUGACCCUUUUUUUUUCAUCUACUUCACAUGAUCUCCAUCUUAAACUGCCGUGAACCAUCUUUCUCGGCCGUGAACCCUCUUUCUUGGCCCUCAUCAUCAUGUCAAACACCAGAAUCCCCACCAGCGAAUCAAAUCCAGCCAAUAGCACCUCCCCCUCUCGUCUUCCCAACAAAACUAAAUCUGAAACAAACAAAAAAACAUAUCUGAUACAAGAAAAAAAAAUAUAUUUGAAACAAAAAAGAUAGAUCUGCAAUGGGAAAGAAGACGUAAAGGGAACAUAAAAUGGAAGUGAGGAAGAAAUAUGCUACGGUCAGCCAAGGAGGCGACGACAGUGAUGUAGCGGCUGAUGGAAGGGGUGGUGACGACUGAUUAGAUUAGGUUAGGGUAUGUCGGCCAAGCAGUCUAGGAGUUCUUCUAGAGAGACAUUAUAUUGAGAGCUGCAAAUGCCACUGUGGUUACCUUAGUGCCAAAAAUUCCACAACAUGAGAAAGUUAAGGACUUUAGACCUAUUUCUUGCUGCUCCACUAUCUAUAAGAUAAUAUCUAAGAUCAUCUCUAACAGGGUUAGAGCAACCAUUGAUGGGAUUGUGGGUGCUAAUCAGUCUGCAUUUAUCCUGGUAGAGUAAUAUCUGACAACAUACUGUUGAGUCAUGAACUAGUAAAGGAAUACACAAGGAAGUAGUUAUCUCCAAGAUGUAUGAUUAAGGUAGAUAUUCAGAAAGCAUAUGUAUCUUUGGAAUGGUGUUUCCUGCAAUAGGUAUUGAGGGAAUUGGGUUUUUCUAGCAGAAUGAUCACUAGGAUUAUGCUAUGUGUUACCACUGUCAGCUAUAGUUUCCAGAUUAAUGGAGUGCUAAUUGAUUCUAUCUAGGCCAAGAGAGGGCUAAGGCAAGGGGACCCUCUAUCCCCUUACCCGUUUGUUAUGGCAAUGGAAUAUCUCAGUAGGUGCCUCAAUACAAAGGGAGAAACCUGGAUUUAAUUUUCAUCCAAGGUGCAAGAAACUGGGAAUCACCCAUUUGUGCUUUGCAUAUGACCUUUUGAUGUUCACUAGAGGGGAAAGUUGUUAGGAGACAAGUUCAACAUUUCUCUAAUGCAUCUAGAUUGAAAGCAAACCUAAGCAAAAGCCAUAUCUACUUUGGUGAAGUUGAUAAUGAUACAACAGAGGGUAUUCUGCAAUGUAUGGGAUAUGAGCUGGGGGUAUUGCCUUUCAAGUAUCUAGGGGUACCUUUAUCGAAUAAGAAACUAUCUGUGCUCAAUGUAGACCACUUGUAGAUAAGAUUACUGCAAGAAUUACAUCCUGGAUGGCUAGGGGACUGCCGUAUGCUGGUAGGCAACAAUCGGUUAGAUCAGUUUUGGUAGGCAGUCAAGCAUAUUGGUCUCAAAUGUUUCUACUACCUCAGAAGGUGAUCAAGCUCAUUGAAGCUGCUUGUCGAACAUACUUGUGGACAGGGGAAGCAACAAUGUCAAAAAAAGCCUUGGUGGCUUGGGAGAAAGUUUGUAUGCCAAAGGAUGCAGGUGGGUAAAUAUGAUUAAUUUGAAGUUGUGGAAUCAAGCAGCUAUAUGCAAACUGCUAUGGGCUCUUAGUUUACAAAAGAAGACAUUAUGGAUUGCUUGGAGUCAUUCUUACUAUAUCAAGAACCAGCAUUGGCUUACUAUGGAGGUGCCUAAACAAGCUUCCUGGAUGUUCAGGAAAUUGUUCCAUAUGAGGAAAUUCUAGAAUACACUGGAAGUAGAGACCAAGAUACUCAAGCAAGGAAAAUUUCAGAUCAAGGCUGCCUAUAAACAACUCAGAGGUAAACUUCCAGUCGUGCCCCGGAGGGAUUUAAUAUAUCACAAUGCAGCUUGUCCCAAACAUAUUUCCAUUUUGUGGCUUAGUUUGCAUGCUAUACUGAAAACAAAGGAUGUUUUGUUGAAAUGCGGACUGCCUAUUAAUGGUACUUGUGGUCUAUGUGGUGACCAGCCUGAAACCCAACAUCAUUUACUGUUUGAGUGUGCUUAUUCUUAUGAGGUUUGGAGGCAGAUACUGGUAUGGAUGAAAUGGCACAGACUUAUCUUACCAUGGGAUCAGGAAUGGAGGAGAUGGGUGCAGCAGACUAGGAAGACAAAAGCUUCUUAGGGAAUAUUGCUUAAGGCUAGUUUUACAGUAGUGAUUUAUGAAGUGUGGGGAGAAAGAAAUGCAAGGGUGUUCAACAGCAAGAUGACAACUGCAACCAAGUUAAUACAUAGUAUUCAAACUAUAUUACGCACUAGAGUAAGGAAGAAUAGGAAGUUAUUUGAGUUUGUAAGGGAAUUGUAGAGGAUAUUUGGUUUGUAGGAGUUUUUUUUGGUUUCAUUGUUCUGUAGGUAGUAUUUAGAGAGCAAACUGGUGGCUUGGCUCUGGUUUUUCGAUUCUUGCACUUGGUAAUUAAUAAAAUGACUGUUAAUUGCCAAAAAAAAAAUAGUCCAUUCAAUAGAACCAAUCCACGUCAAUAAAAAAAAUCAAGCAAAUAAUCAUUUCAAA